AUACGGAGGGAGCAAGCGUUAUUCGGAAUCACUGGGCGUAAAGGACGCGUAGGCGGGUUUGUAAGUCAGGUGUGAAAUCCUACAGCUCCACUGUAGAACUGCACUUGAAACUACAGACCUAGAGUAUGGAAGGGGCAGAUGGAAUUAGUGGUGUAGGGGUAAAAUCCGUAGAUAUCACUAGGAAUACCGAAAGCGAAGGCGAUCUGCUGGGACAUUACUGACGCUGAGGCGUGAAAGCGUGGGGAGCAAACAGGAUUAGAAACCCCGGUAGUCC
rnacentral:rRNA from 1 species